rnacentral:rRNA from 1 species
GGAUAACUUACCCUUAGGACUGGAAUAACUCUGGGAAACUGGGGAUAAUACUGGAUAUUAGGCUAUGCCUGGAAUGGUUUGCCUUUGAAAUGCUUUUUUUCGCCUAAGGAUAGGUCUGCGGCUGAUUAGGUCGUUGGUGGGGUAAUGGCCCACCAAGCCGAUGAUCGGUACGGGUUGUGAGAGCAAGGGCCCGGAGAUGGAACCUGAGACAAGGUUCCAGACCCUACGGGGUGCAGCAGGCGCGAAACCUCCGCAAUGUACGAAAGUGCGACGGGGGGAUCCCAAGUGUUAUGCUUUUUUGUAUGACUUUUCAUUAGUGUAAAAAGCUUUUAGAAUAAGAGCUGGGCAAGACCGGUGCCAGCCGCCGCGGUAACACCGGCAGCUCGAGUGGUAGCUGUUUUUAUUGGGCCUAAAGCGUUCGUAGCCGGUUUGAUAAGUCUUUGGUGAAAGCUUGUAGCUUAACUAUAAGAAUUGCUGGAGAUACUAUUAGACUUGAAGUCGGGAGAGGUUAGAGGUACUACCGGGGUAGGGGUGAAAUCCUAUAAUCCUGGGAGGACCACCUGUGGCGAAGGCGUCUAACUGGAACGAUCUUGACGGUGAGUAACGAAAGCCAGGGGCGCGAACCGGAUUAGAUACCCGGGUAGUCCUGGCCGUAAACGAUGUGGACUUGGUGUUGGAAUGGCUUUGAGUUGUUCCGGUGCCGAAGGGAAGCUGUUAAGUCCACCGCCUGGGAAGUACGGUCGCAAGACUGAAACUUAA